CACGUAGGGGGCAAGCGUUGUCCGGAUUUAUUGGGCGUAAAGAGCUCGUAGGCGGCUCAGUAAGUCGGGUGUGAAACCUCCAGGCUCAACCUGGAGACGCCACCCGAUACUGCUGUGGCUUGAGUCCGGUAGGGGAGCGUGGAAUUCCAGGUGUAGCGGUGAAAUGCGUAGAUAUCUGGAGGAAUACCGGUGGCGAAGGCGGCAUCCUGGACCGACAUUGACGCUGAUGAGCGAAAGCUAGGGGAGCAAACGGG
rnacentral:rRNA from 1 species